UACGGAGGAUCCAAGCGUUAUCCGGAAUCAUUGGGCUUAAAGGGUCCGUAGGCGGGUUCUUAAGUCAGAGGUGAAAUCCUGCAGCUUAACUGUAGAACUGCCAUUGAUACUGCACAGCUUGAGUAAUUAUGAAGUGGUUAGAAUAUGAAGUGUAGCGGUGAAAUGCAUAGAUAUUACAUAGAAUACCGAUUGCGAAGGCAGAUCACUAAUAAUUUACUGACGCUGAUGGACGAAAGCGUAGGUAGCGAACAGG
rnacentral:misc_RNA from 1 species